rnacentral:lncRNA from 1 species
UUUUUUAAUUUUUUUUAAAAUUUUUUUUUUUUUGCACCAAAGUGGCAACUGGGUCAGUGUUGGGGAUCAGGCUGGCUCUGGGUGGAAGUCCCCUCCACCUGCUUCUCCCUGGCUUUGACAGUGUUAGCGUCUGUGAAAAGACAAUAUUCUCUCUAAAGCAAUAAGGGGGUGAUGGGCCAGGGGGAAAUGUCUUGCUGCUGCUGGCCCCCCAGCUCCCCUUCCCUCUUGCCACUGUGGUGGCAUUGGAGGGGUGGGAGAGACUCCUGUUGUGACUGAAUGUAACCUACCCUGCCCCUGCCACAGCCAAUGCAGGGGGAGGGGAACACUUGUCUCUUCCUACCCCUUCCCCCAGCUAAAGAGACUUUGAACUUGGGGGCCCAUGAGCCUGGAGAGGCCUUAACCCUGUGAGGAAGUGUAGGGGGAGCCCUCUCCCACCCCAUCCCCUCUGAGAGUGGUCAAUGUUUACAAGCCCUGAGCCCUAACCCAGGGACUCAGACGCUCCCCACCCCAUCUUAAUCCUUUCCCCAUCCCAGUCUUACAGGGCCCUGCUGCUCCACCCUGGCCCCCUUGGGGUUCAGGGUAGUGUAGGUAUCCUGUGUAUCCCAGUUUACCCUACCUCUACCCUGUGUGACUUCCCUAAUACCCACUCUUGUAAAUACUCCCAAUAAAACUCGGUGUGUUCUCCCAGUCU